UACGUAGGGGGCAAGCGUUGUUCGGAAUUACUGGGCGUAAAGGGCGCGUAGGCGGCACAGCAAGUCGGGAGUGAAAGCCCGGGGCUCAACCCCGGAAUGGCUUUCGAAACUGCUGAGCUAGAGUACAGAAGGGGCAACCGGAAUUCCCAGUGUAGCGGUGAAAUGCGUAGAUAUUGGGAAGAACACCUGAGGCGAAGGCGGGUUGCUGGGCUGAUACUGACGCUGAUGCGCGAAAGCCAGGGGAGCAAACGGG
rnacentral:rRNA from 1 species